rnacentral:rRNA from 1 species
CAGAACGUCGCGAGACAGUUCGGUCCCUAUCUGCUAUGGGCGUUGGAUACGUGAGAGGAGCUGUUUUUAGUACGAGAGGACCGAAAUGGACGAACCUCUGGUGUACCGGUUAUCCUGCCAAGGGUAAUUGCCGGGUAGCUAUCGUUCGGAAGGGAUAACCGCUGAAGGCAUCUAAGUGGGAAGCCCGCCUCAAGACUACGUAUCCCUGAGGGUUUAACCCUCCUAAAGACUCCUUGCACACUACAAGGUUGAUAGGUUGGAGGUCUAAGCACAGUAAUGUGUUAAGCCGACCAAUACUAAUAAGUCGUGAGGCUUGACCA